CCUGAGCAUUUUUCAUUCCCUCAUUUUGACCACAAUUUAUUUUUCUAAUCUUUUUUUUUGAGACUUUCAACCUAUGGUGUCUACUUCUACUAAUAGCUAACUGGAACCUAAACUUUGCACUACCUUCUGCUUUGAAUUUAAUUAUUGUAAGUUUUUUCAGCUAAGCAUAUGCCUCAGCUCAGGAGGCACCAAAGAGGAAAGAGAAAAGCAUCUUCAGCAACUUCUUUAUCUUGCUAAUAGAAAGCUUGACUUCUAAAAUGCUCUAUCAUUGCUCUCCUUUCAAAUGGGGUACUAGGCAUCACCUGAUAUAAGAUAUAAUACUGAAUAAGGAAAAACCAAGAAUUAAAGGUAAUUAGCAGUUAAACAUGCAUGGUUAUUCAUGUUCAACAUCUUAUUUUAUUAGUUUAAAAGAAGCAAUCUUUAUUGAAAUCUAUUAGGAAGUGUCAUAAUCAAUGGAAUCAAUUAGGAACACUACAACAAACUUUAGUUAUUUCAUCCUUCUUUUAUCAAGGGUUUACUAAAAUUUGUCGAUACAGUCUAUAAGUAGUUUGCUAAAAUUUGUAGAUACAGUCUAUAAGUACGAAUGCGGCAGGCUAUCCGCUAUAUUACUAAACUUUAUUUCAAAGGUUAUUAGGUCCCUCAAAAUAAGUUAAAACACCCUUGAAAUAAAUGUGAAAAAAAAAGAGCCGGCAGUUUUGUACCAAAAUGUUUACAUUUUUCAGCCCACAACCCUUGAUAAAAUAUGACAAAUUUUUUAGCCCUGGAAAAAAGCCCACAACAAAAUUUAAAAAGAUAGCACAGAACAUAACCAACAAACACAAUAUCACUCUCUUUUUUUGUUUUUUGGUUUACCCACACUUUUUCAUCGAUUUUCCCAUGAUUUUCGUUUCACAUUUCUCAGAAAACUGAGCUCAUCAUCGAUUUCCCUAUUUCGAUUUCUAGUUGUUUGACUUUUGCGAUUUCAUUAUUCGAGUUCAAAUCAUAUUCUCUGUUUCCUUUACAGUUUUCAUACAAAUAUUGAUUGAGUUUUUUUUUUUUUUUUUAGCACAGGCACAACGAGAUUCCAAGGCUCAAUCCAAGGGAUUGCUAGUAUUAGUUGUGUGGGAAAUGUGCUUUUAGACACUCUGAAGGCCUUGAUUUAUUUCCUAAUAUAAUUUGCACAUUCAAUAACUAGGAAUUUAGUUAAUAUUAGUUAUACAUUUUUUCAAUCAAUGUUUGCUAUAUUGUAUGUGUUUGAACUUGGGUAUUAGUUAUGGAUUUUUUCAAUCAAUUUUGCCAUAUUGUAUGUAUGUAUCAUGUUGAACUGCUUUGGCUUUCUUCUGUAGUGAAACCAAUUGCUUUGGCUUGAUUGAUUUUGACAUUCUCUUAAUUGCACCUCUCAAUUUAUGAUUAUUUUUGUAUGUGCCAUCCAAAACUCAAUUUUGACCUCUUCUUCCUUUUUUGAACGUAUUUUAAGAGAAACAGAUAAAUAGGACUAUUUAUAGUUCAUUGCGUAACAACAAAAGUGAGCAAAUUUAUUUUCAUUUUUUCUCUAUCAAGUGUGUUUGUGUAUUCAAAUUUAGUUUUCAUUCUUGCCGUGUCUAGUGUGUGUGACUGUGCAAGUGUAUUUGCCCUUGAAAGCUUCCAUGUCUGUGUUGAAAGGGAACGCUCGAAUCCUUCAAUUAUGUUUAAUAUUAUUGUUUAAACUUUGAGCAGACCACAUGGUAAAAAUUUAAUUAUUUUUUAGGAUUCAAUAUUUAUAUGAGUAAUCAGUUCAACCAAUUUAAGAGGUACUACAACAUCAUUGACAUUGAUUGUUGUGCUUAUAUGGUCCUUUUUCAUCUCAAUACACUGCCUGUAUUAAGCCAGCUUGGUUAGUACCAAAUUUAAAAAUGGUUUUGACUAAUGCCUUGGGGUGGUUGAAUGAAAGAGUCACUGGUUACUUAUAUUUCUUGUUUAUUUUUUUCCAGUGCUUCGGUUCAUAUUUUAUGGUUGAAAAGAAUGGACUCCAGUAGGAUUAUAAAUAUUUUUGUUUGGUUUUUAUUGCACAUGGUUGGGAGCAUUGCGUUUGCAGAUUUCAUAAUUUGAAAAUUCUGUGACAGGAUUGCACCAUGGAAUAUGGAUCUAGGUCUGUGAUGUGUUUCCAGCGCCCCUUCAUGAAUUUGUUGUGAUUAAAUGCAAGGUUGUUCUUCUUGUUGUUGUCCUCUGUUUGGAAAAACAAAAGAAGGGUAAAAGAGCAAAAACCGUGUCCAAAUUCAACAGCCAGUCCACGUUUUGAAGAGAGAAUUAUUUCAAGAUUUAGCUCCAUUGUUGUGGAAUUCUUUUCAUACUAUUGCUGCACUGUUACAGAAUAAAGAGCCACAUUAUGACAAUAUGAUGAUGCAAAUGUUGAGUUAUAUCACCUCGCAAUCAGCCCAAUCUAGUAGUGAUCACUAAGCAUUAUUCUCAGUUUUGACUUCUCUUCUGAGAUUGAGAGUGAGAGAGUUCUGACUUAUUUGCUGAGAAAAACUGGGUCCAUUAUUGGCUUUGAAGUGAAGCUGUGGAGGUUUUGGAGUACUGGUUAAGGUUGAAGUUGAGGAUAUGGGACUAGGAAAGCGUGGAACUAUAGAAGGUGGGAUGAGAUAAUGAGAUGGAUUUGGUAUUGGUUCCCCUUCCGCUCUCUUGAUAUAGUCUUAUCCAUGUUGGAUGAGAGCUAAUGAUGACUUUGUGAUUUGUAUGGUAUUGUAUAUUUGUAUAUCUCCCUCUUUGUUUCUCUUUUCAUCUUCUUCUAGUCUUCUUGGUUUGACUGCAGUGAUUGCAAUCAAAACUAGAUAUAUGAACUCUGUUGUGACAUCUUUAUAGAUUGGUGUGAAAAUUAGUCAUA